rnacentral:tmRNA from 1 species
GGGGAUGUUGGGACUCGACGUGAAGAUCGCACUUUUACAAACGGCUCGGGCGGAUCUAUCCGCAAAUAGAAAAAAACUAAAUGCAGAUGAGAAAUACUCACCAGCAGUAGCUUUCGCGUAUGCGAACAGCCAAUACGGCUUCGUUCCUGCAUACAACUAAGUUGCAUCCACUGAUGUUUUGUCUGGUUCAACAUCUUUGGGUUUAAACCAAUCAGACAACAGCGUAAGAUGAUUUCCCGAUGUGCGCUUAUUGCUGUAAACCCUUCAUCGGCAGCUGGUAAUGUUUGUAUAUUUUCUAAUACCAGCAUGAGGCAAAAAUAUACUAUCUCGAGCUAAACGUUUUUAAGAUGCCUUUACGGACACCGGUUCAACUCCGGUCAUCUCCACAA